GAUGAAGAACGUAGCGAAAUGCGAUAAGUAAUGUGAAUUGCAGAAUUCAGUGAAUCAUCGAAUCUUUGAACGCACCUUGCGCUCCUUGGUAUUCCGAGGAGCAUGCCUGUUUGAGUGUCAUUAAUAUAUCAACCUCUUCAGCUUAUGCUUGUUGAGUGUUGGAUGGUGGGGGUUUGCUGGUGUCUUAUGAAGUCAGCUCCUCUGAAAUGCAUUAGCGGAACAAUUUGUUGACCGUUCAUUGGUGUGAUAAAAAUAUCUACGCUAUUGACGUCAGUCAGUUCAGCUUCUAACAGUCCAUUGACUUGGACAAAUUUUUCAUUAAUGUGACCUCAAAUCAGGUAGGACUACCCGCUGAACUUAAGCAUAUCAAUAAGCGGAGGA
rnacentral:misc_RNA from 1 species